ensembl:misc_RNA Gm24628 predicted gene, 24628
GGAUGGAAAGAUGAUCUAGCUGUUAAAUCUGUCAACCCAUUGUUCACUAGAGUUGGUUUGGCUGAUCUGGCUUGCUAAGCAGGCACCUCCCUUGUCCCUCACUCCUCCAUGUAUAUCCCUCCUGAAGUUGUGUACUUCGUUGAAGAAAAGGAGCUUCCCUGGAUAAGAGGACCAUUCUGUUGAUGGUAAGUAGUGGUACUCCCCUGGUAAAACUCCAAACAAACUCUUAAGAUUAAUUUCAGAUGGCACCCUAACCAGGAAGUUUAACAGCCGACAUAUUUUCACUAU